rnacentral:rRNA from 1 species
AGAGUUUGAUCAUGGCUCAGAACGUACGCUGGCGGCACGCCUAACACAUGCAAGUCGAACGAAGUAGUAAUACUUAGUGGCAGACGGGUGAGUAACAUGUGGGUAUCUGCCCUUUGGCCUGGAAUAACACGAGGAAACUUGUGCUAAUACUGGAUAAGUCUUUACGGAGAAAGCUUUAUGCACCAUUGGAUGAGCCCGCACUUGAUUAGUUUGUUGGUGGGGUAAUGGCCUACCAAGACUUUGAUCAAUAGCUGAUUUGAGAGGAUGAUCAGCCACAUUGGGACUGAGACACGGCCCAAACUCCUACGGGAGGCAGCAGUGGGGAAUCUUGCACAAUGGAGGAAACUCUGAUGCAGCGAUGCCGCGUGAGUGAAGAAGGCCCUUGGGUUGUAAAGCUCUUUCGUCGGGGAAGAAAAUGACUGUACCCGAAUAAGAAGGUCCGGCUAACUUCGUGCCAGCAGCCGCGGUAAUACGAAGGGACCUAGCGUAGUUCGGAAUUACUGGGCUUAAAGAGUUCGUAGGUGGUUGAAAAAGUUGGUGGUGAAAUCCCAGAGCUUAACUCUGGAACUGCCAUCAAAACUUUUCAGCUAGAGUUUGAUAGAGGAAAGCAGAAUUUCUAGUGUAGAGGUGAAAUUCGUAGAUAUUAGAAAGAAUACCAAUUGCGAAGGCAGCUUUCUGGAUCAUUACUGACGCUGAGGAACGAAAGCAUGGGUAGCGAAGAGGAUUAGAUACCCUCGUAGUCCAUGCCGUAAACGAUGUGUGUUAGACGUUGGAAAUUUAUUUUCAGUGUCGCAGCGAAAGCGAUAAACACACCGCCUGGGGAGUACGACCGCAAGGUUAAAACUCAAAUGAAUUGACGGGGACCCGCACAAGUAGUGGAGCAUGUGGUUUAAUUCGAAGAUACGCGCAGAACCUUACCAACACUUGACAUGUUCGUCGCGACUUUAAGAGAUUAAAGUUUUCGGUUCGGCCGGACGAAACACAGGUGCUGCAUGGCUGUCGUCAGCUCGUGUCGUGAGAUGUUGGGUUAAGUCCCGCAACGAGCGCAACCCUCACUUUUAGUUGCCAUCAUUAAGUUGGGCACUCUGAAAGAACUGCCAGUGAUAAGCUGGAGGAAGGUGGGGAUGACGUCAAGUCCUCAUGGCCCUUACGUGUUGGGCUACACACGUGCUACAAUGGUAUCUACAACAGGAAGCGAAACAGCGAUGUUAAGCAAAUCCUUAAAAGAUACCUCAGUUCGGAUUGCACUCUGCAACUCGAGUGCAUGAAGCUGGAAUUACUAGUAAUCGUGGAUCAGCGUGCCACGGUGAAUGCGUUCCCGGGUCUUGUACACACCGCCCGUCACACCAUGGGAGUUGGUUCUACCUUAAGGCAAGGUUUAAUACCCUUGACCACGGUAUAGUCAGCGACUGGGGUGAAGUCGUAACAAGGUAGCCGUA